rnacentral:rRNA from 1 species
AGCAGUCGCCGCGGGAAUACGGAGGGAGCUAGCGUUGUUCGGAAUUACUGGGCGUAAAGCGCACGUAGGCGGCUUUGUAAGUUAGAGGUGAAAGCCUGGAGCUCAACUCCAGAACUGCCUUUAAGACUGCAUCGCUUGAAUCCAGGAGAGGUGAGUGGAAUUCCGAGUGUAGAGGUGAAAUUCGUAGAUAUUCGGAAGAACACCAGUGGCGAAGGCGGCUCACUGGACUGGUAUUGACGCUGAGGUGCGAAAGCGUGGGGAGCAAACAGGAUUAGAUACCCCGGUAGUCCCUGUCUCUUAUAC